rnacentral:rRNA from 1 species
UGAGGAAUAUUGGGCAAUGCCCGCAAGGGUGACCCAGCAACGCCGCGUGGAGGAUGAAUGUCGUAAGAUUGUAAACUCCUGUUAGAGGGGAAGAAUAGUACCGGUUGGACCGGUAUAUGACUGUACCCUCAGAGAAAGCCCCGGCUAACUACGUGCCAGCAGCCGCGGUAAUACGUAGGGGGCAAGCGUUGUCCGGAUUUACUGGGUGUAAAGGGCGCGCAGGCGGGAUAAAAAGUCAGUGGUGAGAUCCUACAGCUUAACUGUAGAACUGCCUUUGAUACUUUUAUUCUUGAGUUCGGGAGAGAGAGACGGAAUUCCAGGUGUAGUGGUGAAAUACGUAGAUAUCUGGAAGAACACCAGUUGCGAAGGCGGUCUCUUGGUCCGACACUGACGCUGAGGCGCGAAAGCGUGGGGAGCAAACA